rnacentral:ncRNA from 1 species
UAACUGGCUUGUGGCAGCCAAGUGUUCAUAGUGACGUUGCUUGUUGAUCCUUCGAAGUCGGAAGCAGAAUUCAAUAACCGUUGGAUUGUUCACCCGCUAAUAGGGAAUGUGAGUCGGGUUUAGACCGAGGCGAGUAGGAC